rnacentral:lncRNA from 1 species
AUGAAAUGCUUGAUCUGAGUUGUGUAGGCUGAGGAAAGAGUGAGAAGAAGAAGAGGGUAUUGAAGAGAGAUGAAGAAGAGUGUGAAGCCAGGGGGGUGGACUCCAUGGAUGUGAAGCUUUGCCAUGGAACCAGCGGAAGAGCAUGAAAUACUGCUACAAGAAAUGGGUUUUAGUAUCUUUCUUUUAGCUGGAGUCUGCUGGAUAGAUAUAGAGAGAGAGAGAGAGAGAGAUCGGUCUGUGAAUUAUGAUUGGAGUUUAAGUUGUGCUGACUUGAGAUUGACUAUCAGGAAUUAGGCGGGCAGGGAGAAGAUUCUCGGCCGGAGGAAGAGAACUGUCGGCUGGAG